CGUGUCCUCUUCCGAUCUGUUAACCAGGGAGUUGCGGAGGGAAUGGUCUCUGUGUAAUGCGGAAGGGGUGGAGAUGGGAAAAUGUGGCUCGUGGUUGGAUCCCAUUGAAGGUUGCGGAAAUUUCAGAGGAUUAUGUGU